rnacentral:rRNA from 1 species
UACAUGUGGGGCAAGCGUUGUUCGGAAUUACUGGGCGUAAAGGGCGCGUAGGCGGUCAGCACAAGUCAGUUGUGAAAUCUCCGAGCUUAACUCGGAAAGGUCAACUGAUACUGUGCGACUAGAGUGCGGAAGGGGCAACUGGAAUUCUUGGUGUAGCGGUGAAAUGCGUAGAUAUCGAGAGGAACACCUGCGGCGAAGGCGGGUUGCUGGGCUGACACUGACGCUGAAGCGCGAAAGCUAGGGGAGCGAACGGG